rnacentral:rRNA from 1 species
UACGUAGGGACCAAGCGUUGUUCGGAAUUACUGGGCGUAAAGCGCGCGCAGGCGGCUUAGCAAGUCAGGGGUGAAAGCCCGGGGCUCAACCUCGGAACUGCCUUUGAGACUGCUAGGCUCGAGACCGAGAGAGGAGAGUGGAAUUCCCAGUGUAGAGGUGAAAUUCGUAGAUAUUGGGAAGAACACCAGUGGCGAAGGCGGCUCUCUGGCUCGGUACUGACGCUGAGGCGCGAAAGCGUGGGGAGCAAACAGG